UUCACACACACUCUGUCCAGGUGCCGUCCUCGCUUUCCUUCGCGUCCCCUGGAAUAGCCUCAGAGCCCACCGGAUCCCCCAGGUCUUCUUGCCUUCUGCAGCCACUUCGCCAAACCCCUUGGCGCCGCUGGCGAGGCCCGCGAGGCCUCCUGCCAUUCAAACCAGUCGCUUCUCCCACGAGCAACCAUAUGGUAAACGCCCACCUCGUGAGCGCUACACGCCCACUGCCUCUGCGCCCGCCGGAGGAACACGCCCGGAGGCUGCUAGGCCUUCCAUUUAAAGCUCAACACCUGUGGCGAGCGCAGGUCUCCUGAACAGCACUGGCCAGAUGCGCAGAUAAAGGGAAAACUAGCAUGGGCGAUAUAAGAGUGACGUUCGCGAAGGAGUUGUGACAAAGAUUAUUUGUGGACACUGGGGACUAAAAGAAGGAAGGAAAGAAGAGAGGAAAUGACAAUCAGAAGAAAAGACUGAAAUGAUAAGAGCAGAGUGAGUGGGUGGAGCAGGCGUCCCGACCUUAAAUUUGAUAUCAGACUGCUAGAACAUAAGCCUAGAUUUCGUGGAAGUGACCAGGGAUACAUUGCUGUGACGCCGAGACAAAUGCAAAAAAGAAAAGACUGUGCAAGUGUAAUGUCAUCUGACUUUAUGGUGCUGUUCAUCCAUAUCUAUACCGUUCAGUGCGCACGUAGUCACUUCCAAUGGUAAAACGCUUUCAACAGAAGGCUGAGAAAUUACACAGUCUGAUCAGAUGUUUACCGAGAUCUUGACAGCGCAGUGGCAUCUGUGAUCGUGUCACUGACCCGCCUCCAUACCUCACGCAGGUGUAAGGUCGUAACCUCACGUGCCUUGCCUGUACGCUUCGGCCGACCAGGUGGUGCACACAGCUCGAGUGCACGCAGUAACCCUCGCCUACGUCCACGGGUGCACACAGCGCUCUCGACGCCCACACGAUGGUAGAGCUGGGCGGAGGCGGACCCGACGGCCCCAUCGAGCACGGCUUCUCCAACACGGUCUUCGUGGUGGCCGCCGCGAUCUUCGUUCCUGUCGUGGGAGUGUUCACCUACAAGUGGAUCACGACUUUCUGGCAACGUGAGCGUCGGCGGCACGAGAAGAGGAAAUUAAAGCUGGAGAGGCACAAGAAACGCUGAAGUGAGUGUCUGCCUUUCCUCGUCUGCCGUGCGUCUGCUCGUCUGCCAGGACUGACUGACUGACUGACUGUUUGACUGCCGCGAAGGAACUGGUGCAUCGACAGUCUUUUUUUUUCGUUUGGGCCCCGGGUCGUUAGCUAGACUAAGGGUGCUUAACCGGGCACUGAGAGAGAAUGUACUCGUUACGUUGCUUACGGCCAGUUUCGCGUGGAGAUAACACACCCUCUCUUGAGUCGUUGUGGCUGUUUUACCUGCGAGGUACGACCACCACUGCGUCCAGAGGUAGUCCCAGUGUUGAGAACGACGUCUCAUAGACUGGGUUUUGCGUGUGAUGUGUAAGGAACGACUAUUGACUACCCGGUGGGAGAUAUUCCGUGCAUCUCCUUCGGCCAAGUAAAUGUUCUCGUCAGGUACGACCACUACAAACAGGGGGUCGUGUGGAAAACGACCCUAUUGGUGAUCUGUGUACACUAUGUUGAGGAAAAUAAAUCUGUUUUAGGA